CAGAAGGAGGAGAGCGGAAAUAGAAGGUAUGAAAGGUAGAUUCCCUAGAUCAAUCCGCCGCCCGAAGAAUAUCCGACAAAGACGCCCCCGCUAGGAAGGCUGAGGAGGCUGCCGCUCCGCGCACGGAAUGAGCGCCGAAAGAGGGGUCUAUACCGGCGAGAGAGAGGAUCCAGCGAAUCCAUCAAGCUAGCGUGGUGACAGACCGGAG